UUUUAUGUUUUUGCUGUUUAGGCUUCUAAAGCAGCUAUUACAUGUAGAACAGUGGUUGCCAAUUAGAGAUUUUUAUUCAUGUUAAGAUUUGAAAUAUUAUGUACCGUUCCUUAUAUGUAUAUACAUAAUAUAAACUUAUUAUUACUCUUGCAUAUUUGAAGAACAAGUCACAAGAGGGUUUCAUAAGAAGUAAAAAUUAAAAAAUUAAAUCCUCCCACCCGCCCCAUUUUUU
rnacentral:lncRNA from 1 species